rfam:Cavia porcellus supercont2_0 genomic scaffold, whole genome shotgun sequence.
GGGGAUUUAGCUCAGCGGCAUAAGCGCCUGCCUUGCAAGCAGGCAGUCGUGAGUUUGAUCCCCCGCCCCCG